rnacentral:rRNA from 1 species
GAUGAACGCUGGCGGCGUGCCUAAUACAUGCAAGUCGAGCGAACGGACGAGAAGCUUGCUUCUCUGAUGUUAGCGGCGGACAGGUGAGUAACACGUGGAUAACCUACCUAUAAGACUGGGAUAACUUCGGGAAACCGGAGCUAAUACCGGAUAAUAUUUUGAACCGCAUGGUUCAAAAGUGAAAGACGGUCUUGCUGUCACUUAUAGAUGGAUCCGCGCUGCAUUAGCUAGUUGGUAAGGUAACGGCUUACCAAGGCAACGAUGCAUAGCCGACCUGAGAGGGUGAUCGGCCACACUGGAACUGAGACACGGUCCAGACUCCUACGGGAGGCAGCAGUAGGGAAUCUUCCGCAAUGGGCGAAAGCCUGACGGAGCAACGCCGCGUGAGUGAUGAAGGUCUUCGGAUCGUAAAACUCUGUUAUUAGGGAAGAACAUAUGUGUAAGUAACUGUGCACAUCUUGACGGUACCUAAUCAGAAAGCCACGGCUAACUACGUGCCAGCAGCCGCGGUAAUACGUAGGUGGCAAGCGUUAUCCGGAAUUAUUGGGCGUAAAGCGCGCGUAGGCGGUUUUUUAAGUCUGAUGUGAAAGCCCACGGCUCAACCGUGGAGGGUCAUUGGAAACUGGAAAACUUGAGUGCAGAAGAGGAAAGUGGAAUUCCAUGUGUAGCGGUGAAAUGCGCAGAGAUAUGGAGGAACACCAGUGGCGAAGGCGACUUUCUGGUCUGUAACUGACGCUGAUGUGCGAAAGCGUGGGGAUCAAACAGGAUUAGAUACCCUGGUAGUCCACGCCGUAAACGAUGAGUGCUAAGUGUUAGGGGGUUUCCGCCCCUUAGUGCUGCAGCUAACGCAUUAAGCACUCCGCCUGGGGAGUACGACCGCAAGGUUGAAACUCAAAGGAAUUGACGGGGACCCGCACAAGCGGUGGAGCAUGUGGUUUAAUUCGAAGCAACGCGAAGAACCUUACCAAAUCUUGACAUCCUUUGACAACUCUAGAGAUAGAGCCUUCCCCUUCGAGGGACAAAGUGACAGGUGGUGCAUGGUUGUCGUCAGCUCGUGUCGUGAGAUGUUGGGUUAAGUCCCGCAACGAGCGCAACCCUUAAGCUUAGUUGCCAUCAUUAAGUUGGGCACUCUAAGUUGACUGCCGGUGACAAACCGGAGGAAGGUGGGGAUGACGUCAAAUCAUCAUGCCCCUUAUGAUUUGGGCUACACACGUGCUACAAUGGACAAUACAAAGGGCAGCGAAACCGCGAGGUCAAGCAAAUCCCAUAAAGUUGUUCUCAGUUCGGAUUGUAGUCUGCAACUCGACUACAUGAAGCUGGAAUCGCUAGUAAUCGUAGAUCAGCAUGCUACGGUGAAUACGUUCCCGGGUCU